AACGAACGCUGGCGGCAUGCCUAACACAUGCAAGUCGAACGAGACCUUCGGUCUAGUGGCGCACGGGUGCGUAACGCGUGGGAAUCUGCCCUUGGUUCGGAAUAACAGUUAGAAAUGACUGCUAAUACCGGAUAAUGUCUUCGGACCAAAGAUUUAUCGCCCAGGGAUGAGCCCGCGUAGGAUUAGCUAGUUGGUGAGGUAAAGGCUCACCAAGGCGACGAUCCUUAGCUGGUCUGAGAGGAUGAUCAGCCACACUGGGACUGAGACACGGCCCAGACUCCUACGGGAGGCAGCAGUGGGGAAUAUUGGACAAUGGCGAAGCCUGAUCCAGCAAUGCCGCGUGAGGUGAU
rnacentral:rRNA from 1 species